rnacentral:rRNA from 1 species
GAGCGGCAAGGGGAGCAAUUCCCCUAGAGCGGCGGACUGGUGAGUAACGCGUGGGUGACUUACCNUAAGGUUGGGGAUAGCCAUUAGAAAUAGUGGGUAAUACCGAAUAUGGUUACGGGACUAUGGUUCUGUAAAGAAAGGGGCUUCGGCCCCGCCUUGGGAUGGGCCCGCGUCCCAUUAGCUUGUUGGUGAGGUAAGAGCCCACCAAGGCGAUGAUGGGUAGCCGGCCUGAGAGGGUGAACGGCCACACUGGGACUGAGAUACGGCCCAGACUCCUACGGGAGGCAGCAGCUAAGAAUAUUCCGCAAUGGACGAAAGUCUGACGGAGCGACGCCGCGUGGAUGACGAAGGCCGAAAGGUUGUAAAAUCCUUUUGUUACUGAAGAAUAAGCGUGGGAGGGAAUGCCCGCGUGAUGACGUUAGGUAACGAAUAAGCC